rnacentral:ncRNA from 1 species
AGAGUAGGAGCGUUUGCGUGAAGUGAUGCGGGAUGGGAGGUUGUCCGCAUACGAAGGGGAUUUCCCCGCGAUAAACGCCCGCCGCCGCU